ACAUACCUGAACCAAUGACUUGGUGGUGUAGGAUAACAAAGCCCUCUUUUCCACUUCGUCCAUGUACAAAUUGGCCACGAUGGGUGAAACUGGGGAGCCCAUGGCACACCCAUGUUUCGGACUGCAGAACUGACCCUUGUAUGUGAAGUAGGUGGAAUGAAGACACAGUUCCAAAAGCAAACACACUCGGUCGAUGCUGAGGUUGGGGUCAUCCUGUAAUCUCUAAUGAACUACCUCCAACGCUGACUGGGAUGCAAGUGAAAAGAGAUGUAACAUCGUACGAGACCAUGGUUUCAUCUGCCAUCAUAGUGACAUCUCUCACCUUCUCAACAAAAGCCAAGGUGUUCUGGAUGUGGUGUUCAGAGCUGCCUACCAGCGGGAGUUUAUUUGCUGAAUGUGACGUGGAACUCACGUAUAGUUCUGUUGUUAAGAAACAGCGCAUUAAAUGGGAUGAAGGAAAUUAUACAGAAGUUUCGGAGCAUUAGAGCAUAUUAGCUAACAAGCGUUGAAAUGUGCAAACAUUAAAAUCUUUUUGCAGUUUUUACUUUUUUAUCUGUACCUAUAUUACUGAAGUAUUGUCAGAUAAAUGCUGCAAUGUGUCAGGUUGUGAUGUAGUAGCUUUUUUCUUCUCCUUUUAACUGCUUUGUAACAAAUUUUAUUCUGCAUAGCUGCAGAUUUAUUCAAAGAAGCAUUGGCCAGUUUGCUUGUUCUUUUUCAAGAUCAUUGAUGUGAUUCUUAGUUUUGUAAUAAAAAGGGAUUGUAAUCAUCAGCA
ensembl:lncRNA